rnacentral:lncRNA from 1 species
AACCACCUUAUCCAAUUCAAUGCCCCUCUCAAGGAGUAACUUCUUGUUGAUUAGAUCAGAAUAAUAGUUCUCUUGAGCUCGGAGAGAGACAAUGUGAUGUUGGUCAUGUUUGACCACAACUUCCUCUUCAAGACCAUGUUCUUGUUCCAUUUUUGACUUUUUAAGAAAUCCAAAAAUCACAAUAACAUGAAACUGUAAGAAUCAUGUUUUAAACAAUGCUAUUUUAUUGGUAGAAGUCAAAUAAAAGGGUUAGGAAUCAAUUUGGGAACAAAAUAGGCCUGCUGAAAAAUUUGAACACUGGUAGAGUUUGGUCUCUGAUCUCGCAAAAGCAAGGACAUGUUCGCGUAGAAAAAGCGACUAGGAGGCUGCUUACAUGGAAAUUGCAAAGGCGAAGAGGGAUCACUUAAGUGGAGAAUGCUUAUGCGAUGGCGAGGUCGCUUUCGGGGCUAGUCAUCUCCUUCAACAUGAACAACCAAUUUCGACUUACAAAUUCACAAAAAAAUUCAACCCCCAAUAGUUCAAAUCUAACAACAAC